ACAGGUGGUGCAUGGUUGUCGUCAGCUCGUGUCGUGAGAUGUUGGGUUAAGUCCCGCAACGAGCGCAACCCUUGAUCUUAGUUGCCAGCAUUCAGUUGGGCACUCUAAGGUGACUGCCGGUGACAAACCGGAGGAAGGUGGGGAUGACGUCAAAUCAUCAUGCCCCUUAUGACCUGGGCUACACACGUGCUACAAUGGACGGUACAGAGGGUAGCCAACCCGCGAGGGGGAGCCAAUCCCAUAAAACCGUUCCCAGUUCGGAUUGUAGGCUGCAACUCGCCUGCAUGAAGCCGGAAUCGCUAGUAAUCGUGGAUCAGCAUGCCACGGUGAAUACGUUCCCGUGUCUUGUACACACCGCCCGUCACACCACGAGAGUUUGUAACACCCGAAGUCGGUGGGGUAACCCUUACGGGAGCCAGCCGCCGAAGG
rnacentral:rRNA from 1 species